GGAGGGGAGAGCUCAGUGGCAGAGCACGUGCUUAGCAUCCACGAGGUCCUGGGUUCAAGCCCCAGUACCUCCA
rfam:Camelus ferus unplaced genomic scaffold scaffold701, whole genome shotgun sequence.